AUACCUACUAGGACGAAAAGCCUAAGUCACAUUGCUGCUGGCUGGGCACCAAAUGCUAACUAACUUCAUCUUCCAGGGACUGGACCUAUUGCUGCACAAUUUUCUCAGCCUCCACUAGCUGAAAGACUGCACAGCCUCUCUGUUAGGUCAGAAUUAGCUCAUGACAUGGGCAUGCUGAGCCAGAAAGUUGUAAAAGAAAGGGCCAGUAGGGCAAGACUCCUGGACUACUCAGCAAACAGCCAGUCGCUCAGUCUAGACCCUGCAAAAUUGAAGAAGGAGCAGACUAGAAAUACAAUGGAGACCAUGUCUGUAAAUGUCUUUUAUGCCAUGUUUGGAUUGCUCAAAAAGAAGUAAUCUCUAGAGACCUGAAUCUUCUAAAUAGUACCACUCCUAGAAGAGGAGUCUUCAUUUUUCCCCUCAUAGAUAUGGCCAUGGAAGGCAAUGAAUGAGAAGCUCUUCCCUCCUAAGAGCAAGAAAACAAAGAUCAAAAAUCUCACUCCAAUACCCAGGCCAUGAGUCUUUGUUAUUCCAGCUGGCAUGAUGUUUGAUACAUACCACUUCCUACUGAUCUUGU
ensembl:lncRNA novel transcript